GUUUCUUCUUCCUCCUUUCUCUCUUUGUGUUUCUUCUCUAUUCUUUCUCAUCUCUCAAUUCUUCCCCAAACCCAUAACCCUAACCCCAAACUCGGCAACAAGGACGGUAAAUCGGCAACGAGGAAGGCGACGAGUACGGCUUCCAGUUUCUUCCUUUGUUCGUGGAGAUGCCGAACAAUCAUUAUGCUUCAACAUACAAUGUUCAUGGUGAUUACCAGGGAAGACCCUAUCGCAACAUGGUCUCUCAGAUGCCGACUGAUGCUGUUAUGUCUGGCUACUAUGCUCACCAUGAUGGAAGGGGACACUCUAUCCACAUGCAACGUGAUUCUGGUUAUUUUUCACGUGAGAACUAUUGGGACAGAAACCAUGCAAGGGCACCGCAUGACCAUUACCUUCCGAGUGGGAGUUCUUUUGCUCCUGCUAGAACAGGAGGGGGGAGGCCCCACAUUCCACUGCCUCCUAAUGCCUGCCGCACACUGUAUGUUGAAGGUUUGCCAGCCGACUCCACAGAGAGGGAAGUGGCACAUAUAUUUCGACCAUUCAUGGGCUAUAUGGGCCUUAGGCUUGUGCGAAGAGAGCCUAGGCAGCUUGGGGGACAGCCAGUUGUCCUUUGUUUUGUUGACUUUCUCACGUCAGCUCAUGCUGCCAGGGCAAUGGAUCUAUUGCAAGGCUACCAGGUUGAUACAAAUGACAGUGAGUCAGGCUACUUACGGCUGGAAUUUUCUCGCUGUCCAGAUGGAAGAAGACCAGGGUUUGGUGAAUAUGUGAACCAUUGAAUGGUCAUGAUGUUGCUGUCUGUUUGAAGACCUCUUUUUGUUAGAGUCCUGCUCUGAAGAACUCGUGUGCUUGAAACUGUUUUAAGUUUGCAACGAUCGUUUCUGGAAAAAGACUGCCUUUGAAAUCAGAAUCUGUUGAACAGGAAAGGAAUCGAGAGGCAUCGAACUUUGUCGAGCCGUUUAAUUAUGCCUUGAGUGCAUGCCAACCUGUCGGUUGCUUUCCAUCUGGACCCUUGCGGUUGCAAAGUUGACGUGGUGAUUAAUCACUGUGUAUGACAUUUAAUAAUUUGAGAAGAUGCAGUCUCCCUUUCAUCGGUAUGUUCACCCAGAUCUACUGUAUUUUCUAUUUCCAAUUUCAAUAUUGAGAAAGGCCUCCUAAACCUAAAGAAUGAGCUGGAGAUUUCAUAAUUUCUACAAGGUGGUCCGAGUUUGAUGUUUUUGUGCUGCCUACAUUGUCAUCAAUUUUCUCAUAGGCUGGUAUCAAUAGCUGUUUGCUUUGUAUUUUUCUUUGAUGUGACAGCGUAUGCGAGAUUAGAAAUCAGAACAUUCAUAAAUCUGGUAUGCGAGAGUGGUUUUAUGUAUGAUAUUCGCAUACUUCAUAUUUUACAUGUUUGUGAUUUUCCUGAUGAACUGAUAUGUGGGAUGGAACCUGAACAGGGUCUGCUUGCUUAAUAGUUCUCUGCAGCGUGUUGAGUAUAUACCCGUUGCCUCGCCUACUGGAUACUCUAUAUGUCGUGGCACAUAUGGCACUUCCUACCUGGCAGUUUGUCAUAUAUGAACAGUUCUUCUCUGGUAAGUAGGUUGUUUUAUGUGGUUUUUGUUUUUCUAAUUUAGACAGACAACUAGCAACUAUUUGGUUUCAAGAAAAGCUGGCACCUCAGAAUAAAUGGAAGGUAAAUGAAAUAGAAUUGUAGCAACAGGAGAAGUAUACCCAGCAUACUCGAAAUGCCACAUUCCGCACGCAAUUGUGCAUAACCUCAGCAAAACCUUUGCCAGUUUGUUCACAAAUGUGGGUAUGUUACCUAUCUUUUCACUUAUUGGUAGGAUGUAACAUUAUGAGGAGUACUGGUUUUUGUUUUGUUUGUAAACUUAAAACUAUUCUUGGGGCAUUAUUUUUGUUAAAUGUCUCUAGUUUGUUGAGAGGCGAACAAAGUUUGUUCUAUUAUGAUUUAGCCACUGUCAUGGCUCUAGUCACACAACAUUCUAUAGUAUAACGCAUAUCUUAAUAGUAAGGUAGGAUGAUUAGGGUUUUAUAUAGUCAAGAAUCAGAGGUUUGGUCCGUCAUCUUUGACUUUAUUUGAUUCAGCCCAUCUAGUUUGAUUUUAAUAUGUUAACAAAAUUGGUACAGGCAGUUUGAACUUGACUGCAGGUUCUGCUCUGCAUGAUGAACAUGGAAUGAGAUUCUCUUUUGCAUAAAUUACUGACAAUAGGUCAGUAAAGAAUGCAUUGCGACCAAUUUGCUAGCUAUGUUGAAGAUGGUCAAUCUGUGUGCUCAUACUUGCAGGAGUAAAGAAGAGUGUUGUUUGUCUCCAUUUUUGUUGCUUCAGCUAUGGUACGCUUACUUUGUUUUCUUCUUGUAGUUAAAAGGAAAGGAUCCUAAAUGCAGGAGUAGCUGGUUCCAAUUGGUAGUGGUUUCUGUUGGUGUGAUCCUGAGUGGGACAACGGAGCGGGAGCUGUGGGUUAAGAGUAGCAGAGAUUCAGGACGCAAAUACGAUGAUGUGGUUGAUUAUAUAUAGAAGCGGUAUGUGGCACAUUUAUUGCGUGUAUAAAAAAUUUAAGAAUCAUAAAUAAUUAGAUAUUUUUGUUUCAACUUUUA